GUGACAGCAGCUAAGGCGAGGCAGGAGAAAAAGAUUUAAAGCCAAGAAAAGCCCAAGGCAUGGUUUGGAUACUGUGAAAAGCAGAAGUGGAUCUUUGUGCCUUGCUCUCCUUUCUAACUACAGUCUAAGAACAAGGGAUUGAUACUCAACUGGGAGUUGCCUCUAUCAGAGGGCCUUUGUAGAGCAAAGAAGACAUGGAGUUAAGCUCUUCCUGUUAACAUUCACUCACGGCACAGUGAUACCUGCUCGACCCUGAGGCAGAGGAGGCCUGAGAUUGUCCAGCAGUGCACCUAUCCUUAGCUUCUGACCACUGCCAGCAGGUAAUUGCAGAGAACAAGAAGGUUGAGCUUCCUUUUCUCCAAGCUAAACAACUCCAGUUCCCUCAGCUGUGCCUCAUAAGACUUCUGCUUCAGAUCAUCCACCAGGUUGCACAAGCUCAUGGAAGUGGUCUAUAAAUACUGGAAAAACAAUGGAAAGAUCCCUUAUGCUACAGGACAAUAUUAGAGAAGAAAAGCUCAGGCUGGAAAAGAGGUGCUUCUACAUGAAACAGAUGCCUUUUAUUGAAGACUGGAUCCUGGUAGCCCCUCCAGAACUACAGAGAUGGAAAAAGGUGCAAGAAGCUGCCUGGACACAAAUGUGCUCCAACUGGGAUGCGAUGAGUCCAUGGCAUAACUUCCUGGAAGGGAUGCAACUUGCAGCUGGACCUGAAUGAUCCUGAGAAGAGAGUGCCAAGCCAGCUUGGAGCAACAGCCUGGCCAGGUGGGAAACAGGGUUGAAUGCUGGCUCUCCAAGCUGUCUAGCAGCCUUCAGCCGAUCCAUGAAGAGCCAAACUCAAAACUUUUCUCUUCUUACUGCUGUGAGAAGCCGGUCUUGAAUUAGGUCUCUUAUUUAUAUCACUGCUGCUCUCCUGUGCCCACUUUUCCUCUGUCAUGUAUGCUGCAGAAGUGAUUGUUUAUCGAUGUGUGAAAAUGGGUAUAGGGUGCAUUCAUGCUGCUGUGAUGGGAUUUUGGACAGUGAGAUCCACGGCUUUUACAGUGUCGGCCUUGUGAAAUUUGGGGACAGCUGCAAGACUGCAUGUGCUGUGUUUUCAACUUACACUCAUUUACUACAGUGUGUUUUGAAAAUUCUCUACAUUCCUCAGCAGUGGAGCCUGAUACUUGUUACCCUUAGUUUAAAAGGACUGGGGGAAAAAAAGAAAUAAAAACCCAACAAAACCCCCAAAUCACUGGCCACAGCUCGAGGAAAUGACUUUUCAGGAGACCUCACAAACUACACAGCACAAUUAUUAACAGAGAGGCACUGAGAUCAUUCAAAGUAAAACCAUACUUUUAGUCAUUGGAGCUGUUAGGAUUUAAGGAGGACUGAAUGUCUUUAAAGGACAUAGCACAGCUUACAAAAGGUGAUGUAUGCCUGCUUUGUGAUGGACCAUUGCAAAUGUUCCUUAUAUCAUUUGAAUGCCACUUCGGAGUCUGGGGAAAAAGGCUAAAAGAACUUGAACCUUUGUUGUUGAUCUGUGCCUAAUGAUCUGCAAUAUGCCUGGCAAAGUAAACAUCCCAUUAAGUGAAGAAAUUGGAACUUGUUUGGAGUUUUUAAGUAGAAUAGGGAUUUUUUAAAAACUCUUUGAGGAUAUUUUAUAUUCAGGUCUAUACUAGAUAGGAAGCAGAGGAAAACAUUUCCAGGGAAAAUAAUGAUGUUUUGCUUAUUUCCUUUUAACCCUGCAACCUUUGAGAUACUAAGUCAACUUAAUGUGCUCAGAAUGUGAUGUUUAAAAGACCCCUCCCAUACAUGUCUGUGGCAAACCUAAGACUAGUAGAAUGCCGUUGGAUGGCAAAAAAUCUUGGGGAAGAAGGCAUGGAAUUAAAUGCAUUUUAAUCACUUCUAUAUGUUAAAAGGUUUAUGGUUGAAUCUAAGACAAAAGCAUGCCACCAGAAGUACCUUGGCAAGGCAUGUUUGUGUGAAGUGCACGUGUGUCUUCUGUUUCUUUAACAGAUAAAAUAAAAGGCUUAGCAAAAA